UAGGAUGGGUAGCUCUGAAGAACCCGACAGGACUAGUCUCCUCCAUGACUCUUCAUCUCCGACUCACCCUCUCCUCUCCAAAUCCUACCCUUCACCCUCAAUUUCAGAACCUCAGCCUGAAUCCUCCGAACCUGACCAGACCCAGUUCCUCCAGAUCUCCUACAAUUACGGGCCUAGACCCUUCAAGGACCUCCCCUUUCUCAUCCUCUUUCUGGUCGUCGUUCUCUGCACUUUCGGCUUUGGCAUCUUCGCAGUUGUGAAUCGGAACCCCAAUUCUUCCAGCGUUUCUUCUUAUUCUUAUGACUCCAGUUCCACUUCUUGUGUCAAGAACUCCACUGCCUCGCUGAAGCAAC
rnacentral:lncRNA from 1 species